rnacentral:rRNA from 1 species
GAUUAAGUUAUUAAGGGCGCACGGUGGAUGCCUUGGCACUAGAAGCCGAUGAAGGACGUUACUAACGACGAUAUGCUUUGGGGAGCUGUAAGUAAGCUUUGAUCCAGAGAUUUCCGAAUGGGGAAACCCAGCAUGAGUUAUGUCAUGUUAUCGAUAUGUGAAUACAUAGCAUAUCAGAAGGCACACCCGGAGAACUGAAACAUCUUAGUACCCGGAGGAAGAGAAAGAAAAUUCGAUCCCCUUAGUAGCGGCGAGCGAAACGGGAAGAGCCCAAACCAACAAGCUUGCUUGUUGGGGUUGUAGGACACUCUAUACGGAGUUACAAAGGACGACAUUAGACGAAUCAUCUGGAAAGAUGAAUCAAAGAAGGUAAUAAUCCUGUAGUCGAAAAUGUUGUCUCUCUUGAGUGGAUCCUGAGUACGACGGAGCACGUGAAAUUCCGUCGGAAUCUGGGAGGACCAUCUCCUAAGGCUAAAUACUCUCUAGUGACCGAUAGUGAACCAGUACCGUGAGGGAAAGGUGAAAAGCACCCCGGAAGGGGAGUGAAAUAGAACCUGAAACCGUGUGCUUACAAGUAGUCAGAGCCCGUUAAUGGGUGAUGGCGUGCCUUUUGUAGAAUGAACCGGCGAGUUACGAUUUGAUGCAAGGUUAAGCAGUAAAUGUGGAGCCGUAGCGAAAGCGAGUCUGAAUAGGGCGUUUAGUAUUUGGUCGUAGACCCGAAACCAGGUGAUCUACCCUUGGUCAGGUUGAAGUUCAGGUAACACUGAAUGGAGGACCGAACCGACUUACGUUGAAAAGUGAGCGGAUGAACUGAGGGUAGCGGAGAAAUUCCAAUCGAACCUGGAGAUAGCUGGUUCUCUCCGAAAUAGCUUUAGGGCUAGCCUCAAGUGAUGAUUAUUGGAGGUAGAGCACUGUUUGGACGAGGGGCCCCUCUCGGGUUACCGAAUUCAGACAAACUCCGAAUGCCAAUUAAUUUAACUUGGGAGUCAGAACAUGGGUGAUAAGGUCCGUGUUCGAAAGGGAAACAGCCCAGACCACCAGCUAAGGUCCCAAAAUAUAUGUUAAGUGGAAAAGGAUGUGGCGUUGCCCAGACAACUAGGAUGUUGGCUUAGAAGCAGCCAUCAUUUAAAGAGUGCGUAAUAGCUCACUAGUCGAGUGACACUGCGCCGAAAAUGUACCGGGGCUAAACAUAUUACCGAAGCUGUGGAUUGUCCUUUGGACAAUGGUAGGAGAGCGUUCUAAGGGCGUUGAAGCAUGAUCGUAAGAACAUGUGGAGCGCUUAGAAGUGAGAAUGCCGGUGUGAGUAGCGAAAGACGGGUGAGAAUCCCGUCCACCGAUUGACUAAGGUUUCCAGAGGAAGGCUCGUCCGCUCUGGGUUAGUCGGGUCCUAAGCUGAGGCCGACAGGCGUAGGCGAUGGAUAACAGGUUGAUAUUCCUGUACCACCUAUAAUCGUUUUAAUCGAUGGGGGGACGCAGUAGGAUAGGCGAAGCGUGCGAUUGGAUUGCACGUCUAAGCAGUAAGGCUGAGUAUUAGGCAAAUCCGGUACUCGUUAAGGCUGAGCUGUGAUGGGGAGAAGACAUUGUGUCUUCGAGUCGUUGAUUUCACACUGCCGAGAAAAGCCUCUAGAUAGAAAAUAGGUGCCCGUACCGCAAACCGACACAGGUAGUCAAGAUGAGAAUUCUAAGGUGAGCGAGCGAACUCUCGUUAAGGAACUCGGCAAAAUGACCCCGUAACUUCGGGAGAAGGGGUGCUCUUUAGGGUUAACGCCCAGAAGAGCCGCAGUGAAUAGGCCCAAGCGACUGUUUAUCAAAAACACAGGUCUCUGCUAAACCGUAAGGUGAUGUAUAGGGGCUGACGCCUGCCCGGUGCUGGAAGGUUAAGAGGAGUGGUUAGCUUCUGCGAAGCUACGAAUCGAAGCCCCAGUAAACGGCGGCCGUAACUAUAACGGUCCUAAGGUAGCGAAAUUCCUUGUCGGGUAAGUUCCGACCCGCACGAAAGGCGUAACGAUUUGGGCACUGUCUCAACGAGAGACUCGGUGAAAUCAUAGUACCUGUGAAGAUGCAGGUUACCCGCGACAGGACGGAAAGACCCCGUGGAGCUUUACUGUAGCCUGAUAUUGAAAUUCGGCACAGCUUGUACAGGAUAGGUAGGAGCCUUUGAAACGUGAGCGCUAGCUUACGUGGAGGCGCUGGUGGGAUACUACCCUAGCUGUGUUGGCUUUCUAACCCGCACCACUUAUCGUGGUGGGAGACAGUGUCAGGCGGGCAGUUUGACUGGGGCGGUCGCCUCCUAAAAGGUAACGGAGGCGCUCAAAGGUUCCCUCAGAAUGGUUGGAAAUCAUUCAUAGAGUGUAAAGGCAUAAGGGAGCUUGACUGCGAGACCUACAAGUCGAGCAGGGUCGAAAGACGGACUUAGUGAUCCGGUGGUUCCGCAUGGAAGGGCCAUCGCUCAACGGAUAAAAGCUACCCCGGGGAUAACAGGCUUAUCUCCCCCAAGAGUUCACAUCGACGGGGAGGUUUGGCACCUCGAUGUCGGCUCAUCGCAUCCUGGGGCUGUAGUCGGUCCCAAGGGUUGGGCUGUUCGCCCAUUAAAGCGGUACGCGAGCUGGGUUCAGAACGUCGUGAGACAGUUCGGUCCCUAUCCGUCGUGGGCGUAGGAAAUUUGAGAGGAGCUGUCCUUAGUACGAGAGGACCGGGAUGGACAUACCUCUGGUGUACCAGUUGUCGUGCCAACGGCAUAGCUGGGUAGCUAUGUGUGGACGGGAUAAGUGCUGAAAGCAUCUAAGCAUGAAGCCCCCCUCAAGAUGAGAUUUCCCAACUUCGGUUAUAAGAUCCCUCAAAGAUGAUGAGGUUAAUAGGUUCGAGGUGGAAGCAUGGUGACAUGUGGAGCUGACGAAUACUAAUCGAUCGAAGACUUAAUCAA